GACGAACGCUGGCGGCGUGCUUAACACAUGCAAGUCGAACGGAAAGGCCCUGCUUUUGUGGGGUGCUCGAGUGGUGAACGGGUGAGUAACACGUGAGUAACCUGCCCUUGACUUUGGGAUAACUUCAGGAAACUGGGGCUAAUACCGGAUAGGAGCUCCUGCUACAUGGUGGGGGUUGGAAAGUUUCGGCGGUUGGGGAUGGACUCGCGGCUUAUCAGCUUGUUGGUGGGGUAGUGGCUUACCAAGGCUUUGACGGGUAGCCGGCCUGAGAGGGUGACCGGCCACAUUGGGACUGAGAUACGGCCCAGACUCAUACGGGAGGGAGCAGUGGGGAAUAUUGCACAAUGGGCGGAAGCCUGAUGCAGCAACGCCGCGUGCGGGAUGACGGCCUUCGGGUUGUAAACCGCUUUCGCCUGUGACGAAGCGUGAGUGACGGUAAUGGGUAAAGAAGCACCGGCUAACUACGU
rnacentral:rRNA from 1 species